AUGAAGUCACACUGGCUCUGUCUGUUUCAGUGCAGUGUGUGUGAACGGCUGAAUUUAAACAUGAAACGCCAAGAAAAAUUAACUUCCUGUGACAUCAGGUCAUGAUUUCAGGAAUGACAGAGCAUCCUGCAGGAAUGGGAAACGUUCUGACGUGGAACAUCCUCCGCUGCUGGGAGAUGUUAGAUAACAAGCAGGACGAUGGAACCUCUGCAGUUCCACCAAAUUUACUGCAUUUGCAGGAAGUACAAAGCUGAAAGCAGCGUACAGGAGAAGCUUGGCAGCAAGCAGAGUAUGUAAAUAAACAAUAAAAACUGAAAGCUGUGGUUGCUCCAUCCCUGGAAGUGUUCCAGUCCAGGUUGGAUGGGGCUUGGAGCAGCCUGGUCUAGUGGAAGAGGGAGGAACUGGAUGAGUUUUAAAGCCUCUUCCAACCCAAACCAUUCUAUGACUCCAUGAUAUGCAGAGUUGGUUUUUAUUUCCCUAAAAGUUGCAGUAAAGCAAGGAAAUCUAAUUCCAGUGAAUCUUCUAAUGAAGAACUCUUUGAACACUGGGGCCACCAACCUGACCUGAUCCCUGCAUGUUGAUGCCUUUACUUGGGCUGUGCACUGUUUUCAGAGUUAGACCAGUCUUGGCAGGACGAGCCCACGUGAGUUUGCAUCUGAAGGUCACGAGGACUCUCCUGGCCGGGCUGUGGGCACAGGCAGGCUCAGCCCAGGGGAUUAAGUCAACUCUUGCACAUUUUCCUAUGGAAUCAAUCGCUGUGGAAUCUCCUCCUUUUACAUCCUUUUGGUGAUUGCCUUUUACCUGACAGAUCCUUUCUUGCUCUUCCUCUGUGUAGGUUGUCACUUGUUAUUUGAGAAACUUUACUUGAGGAAUUUGGAGUGUCGUGUUAUACUUUGCACAUCAUCGGUUUAUGUGUGUGAGCCGCAGUAAAGCGCAGUGAUUGCUUAAAAACACUAUAGUUACUUAAAAGAGAUGACUUUGAUUGUGUGUUUUUUGUUCCCAUCACAAUAACACUUUGCAGGUGAUUAUUAAAUUAGAGAUUUUCUUUGUUUUUUGAACAAAAAAACCCCAACCUUUUUCAUGUCAGUGCCAAUUAUGAGUAGUAAUUUUUCACAUUUUACAAAAGAAUUUUCUGUCCUGCCUCCACGCCCCCCCAAAUAAAGAAGGGCUUUGACACUCUAUGACA
rnacentral:lncRNA from 1 species